AGUGAACGCUGGCGGUAGGCCUAACACAUGCAAGUCGAACGGCAGCACAGUAAGAGCUUGCUCUUACGGGUGGCGAGUGGCGGACGGGUGAGGAAUACAUCGGAAUCUACUUUUUCGUGGGGGAUAACGUAGGGAAACUUACGCUAAUACCGCAUACGACCUACGGGUGAAAGCAGGGGAUCUUCGGACCUUGCGCGAUUGAAUGAUCCGAUGUCGGAUUAGCUAGUUGGCGGGGUAAAGGCCCACCAAGGCGACGAUCCGUAGCUGGUCUGAGAGGAUGAUCAGCCACACUGGAACUGAGACAAGGUCCAGACUCCUACGGGAGGCAGCAGUGGGGAAUAUUGGACAAUGGGCGCAAGCCUGAUCCAGCCAUACCGCGUGGGUGAAGAAGGCCUUCGGGUUGUAAAGCCCUUUUGUUGGGAAAGAAAAGCAGCAGGUUAAUACCCCGCUGUUCUGACGGUACCCAAAGAAUAAGCACCGGCUAACUUCGUG
rnacentral:rRNA from 1 species